GGUCAGGAUGAACGCUGGCGGCGUGCUUAACACAUGCAAGUCGAACGAAGCGUCCCGCCCGAUGAAGUGGAGUGCUUGCACAAAGUGGAAUCAAUUGGGAUGACUUAGUGGCGGACGGGUGAGUAACGCGUGGGUAACCUGCCUUACACAGGGGGACAACAGUUGGAAACGACUGCUAAUACCGCAUAACCCGCUAGUAUCGCAUGAUACAGGCGGAAAAGAUUUAUCGGUGUAAGAUGGACCCGCGUCUGAUUAGAUAGUUGGUGAGGUAACGGCUCACCAAGUCGACGAUCAGUAGCCGGCCUGAGAGGGUGAACGGCCACAUUGGGACUGAGACACGGCCCAAACUCCUACGGGAGGCAGCAGUGGGGAAUAUUGGACAAUGGGGGAAACCCUGAUCCCAGCGACGCCGCGUGAGUGAAGAAGUAUUUCGGUAUGUAAAGCUCUAUCAGCAGGGAAGAAAAUGACGGUACCUGACUAAGAAGCCCCGGCUAACUACGUGCCAGCCGCUGC
rnacentral:rRNA from 1 species